CAGGAGAUGUGGACGCUGUUACCGCAGCCGUACCUUACGGGGACAGACGGGGGGGCGUCAGUACGUCGCAUCCCAGAAACCGAGAUGAUUCCGGUCUCUUGUCCUGGAAGGCUCUCGUGGGGGGUCUCAGCAGCAGAGGCUGUAGCCUGGUGUGAACCCUGGAGAACCUCCAGCAGCUGGCGCUCCGACAGCCCCGCCUGAAAGGCAUCUGAAGCGGAAAAACACGUCAACGGCCACCGGAUGUCGACCCGUCAUCAAAACUAAAAAAGGUAUUUAAAUCAGCAAAUCUUACACUGGUGCUCUCUGGGUAGCCGGAAUUUCCUCAGUAAAAGCCUGGAAUCACACACAUCUUUAAAUCAAUGUAAGGGUUAAAAAUAUUUGUAUCUUUUUGUAAGCAAGUAUAAUUUAGUUUUUAAGUAAUUGCAGACCGCCAACUUCUGCUAACUAGUAGGUUUGCCUGAAAAUAUCUCUUUACCUGGUGUGAACCAACAGAAUAUGAAUAAUUUCAGCGAUUUCAGGAAAAGAAGAAAAAUCAAAAUAUUGGUAGGACUUUACUUGGAAGUCCUACCAAAAUAAAGUCCAUGUUUUACGACAAGGAUGUGUCGUAAAAAUGACACAUCAGGAACACGAAGGGAAUCUUUAUGAAUGUUUAUGAUUGUUUUCAUGAAGUUGCAUUACAUUACAUUAAAAGUGUUAGUUUUUACCAAACGGCAUUUCAUGACAACAGUCAUAAACGUUCAGGAAGACUCCAUCAUGUUCCUUACCGGUCUUUUGUUAUGUUUACGACAGUCUUAAGCACAACCCUUCAAAGUAAAGUGUUACCAAAAUAUGAAAUGCUAGUUUGAAAGUCGCUGGCUCAAAACCUGGAAAACAUUUGAAUGAAAUUGCGGCGCAAACAGUGUGACGGUGAUACCAGCAGAUGUGUUUGCACGGCUGCUGCUCCCUGGCGAACGUCGGACAGGUGCACGUAUGCCGCUCGCCCAAGCACACCUGGACAACAAGAGGACACGAUGGAUCCUAUGUGUCCCCGAAGUCUCUUGAGAGGACCCCGACUGUCCCGAGGCGACCGACCUUAAAGGUGGCCGUCUCUCCGUCCUCCCUGAGCAGGAAGGCGGUCGGGCCGAAGGACCGCAGAAGGAACACGGUGGAGCCGAGGGCUUGGUCCUGAUGGGAGCUCACCGUGUCGCUGGGAACGUUCCUCCAGCCGGUUCGCCUGGACAUCCUGACGCUGAUGGAUGUACACCAGAACAUUAUGGGAAACGGUUAGAACCAAACUGUUUACAAGGAGCGAUAAUGUGUUGCAACAGUUAUGUAGUUAUGUAUAGGAUGGACUAUAGAGACCAGUGUCACUCUUUAUCAUAGAUGGACUAAAGAACCUAUCUGUUUGGUUCUUUUGUUCAGAUUUCUCUGAUCUUUAUGAAAUGCAAGAAUUACAUAUAUGUCAACCUGUAAAACUACCAUCCCUCCCCCCCAAAAAAGAAAAGAUGAAUACUUUUGAAUUACAAAUGUAUUAAUUUUAUUGUAGGGACAUAUCUCAAUCACUUCACCUGUUAAUGCUGUAAUAUUUUGUUUUAUUAACUAUUCCUGCAGAUGAUUGAUAUUUUUCUUGUACCUUUCAUUAAAUAAAAC